ACCUGCGCGCAGGCGCGGCCUUGCUCUCUCUCUUCGGGGCAGGUCUCGUGGUUGGGAGUCAUGGCGGCCUCAGGCUGGUCCGAGCUAGGCCAGCAACCUCGGACCUUUGGCGGCGGCCUUUGUUUGGCAUCUGCAGAGACGGUGAGAAGCCGACGUGCACGUUGAAGCUUAAAACUAGCGAAUGGAACCCUUAAAUGAGUAAGAAUGGAUGCACGCAAGACCUGGGUGUGCACCAGAAGUGACAGAGAUUAAAGAUGUUGGCUGUGGACUUGGGAAAAAGUCACAUGAAAACCAUCAUCCGAAGAUAUUGAGCGUAAGGACCUUCGUGAUGAAAUUCCUAAAAAUGGUACAGUCUCAGCCUCAGUUUGAGGCCGAAAAGGAUGCUCCAGAACAAGACACUAACUAGCAGCAGUGCCGUUUCAGCUGCCCUGGACCCGAGGCGGAAUUUCUCUCGUGUGUCUGCAGUGAGUGAGACAGAUUUGAACUGCUUUGCCUGAAGCAAGUGAAAUGAUGAUUCUUCUCCUGUUGUUUCCCCUGGCAACCACCAUUCUACUUCCUGUAUCUAUGAAGUGACUGCUCUAGAGACCUCAUCUGUCUCCUCUCCUGAAACUCAACUUGCAGUAUCAUUGAAGCUGAUUGCGAGGGAACCAAAGACACCGCCUAACACAGUUCUGAGGUGAAUAUGAUCAACCUUUGAAGAAGCUAAAUAACUGACAGCCUGUCAUUAUAACCUGUCUCCUGUUGGAGCGCUCAACAAAAAGUAAUUAAGAGGACCCAGGCCACCCUCAGGCCCAAAGACUCGCUGUUGGUGGGAACCCUCUAAGGCUGUGGAGCCUCCAAGUGGGCCGGAUUUGGGUGUCGGAAUGGAAACAAUUUGAUCAUUCAGGCCAGGUGGUCCCUGACCAAGGAUUGAACCCCAGCUCCCUGCAGUGGAAGUGUGGAGUCCUAACCACUGGACCGCCAGGGAAUUUCCUGCUGUUUCCUUUCUGUGCUGACUUCUAGACUCUCCCUGCCUUUGAGAGCCGUCUGGGGUCCGCCUCCUCAUUCUCCCCACUCCUGUCUCAAUCACUCAGUGCCUUCAUAGGCACGGUGUCCUCGACUCCACUCUCCUACAACCAUCUGCUCUGAGGACAGCUUAAAACGCCGACUUCAUGACGCUCUUCUGCCAAAGCCCCAUAAUGACGGUGGCCACGUUCAAUGCAAACAACCCCUGGCUUUCGAAGCUCUCCUGCUUCCAGACUCAGGGAGCUUUUUCAUUCAGCAAGUUCUUUCUGGGUGCCGCUUGUCCGCCGGGCCUGUUGUAGGAGCUGGGGACGUGGCCAUGAACGUGGCACGCAAGGACCCUGCUCUCAUGGGCUGACAUUCCACUGGGGCAGACAAUGCAGGCUAAAAUAAAAGAUGAUCUCAGCCCGUACUGAGUGCUGAGAAGGAAGCCAGCCGGAUGGGACGAUGUACCGGGGGGAAUUUAUAUCCGCCAAGGUGGCCAAGGACACAGAGACUUGAAAGGGGAGGAGAAGCAAUCUGUGAAGAUCUAGGCUGGGGAGAGUCGGCCAGGCAAGGGAGGGGCAGCGCCAGGCCUGCCGCGCGCGUGUGUGUGUGUGUGUGUGUGUGUGUGUGUGUGUGUGUGUGUGUGUGUGUGUGUGUGAGAGAGAGAGAGAGAGAGAGAGAGAGAGCACUGAGCGGAGGGGGCAGGGCAGCUGGGAGAAGAGGCAGAGGGGCAGGGUCCUGCUGGGCCUCAGGGGCCCUGGUAAGAGCCCGGAGUUUAUUCUGUGAGCGAUGGAAGCCACUGGGGGCUGCAAGCAGGAGAACAGGAGAUGAGGUUUCUAUGUUACACACAGCACGCUGGUUGCGGGGUGGGGCUUGGGUGGGGUACACACCCGAGGCAGGGAGACUGCUUGGGAGGUUACUGAACAGCCGGAUGAGCCCCGGACUGGAGCAGCGGCCAGAAAGAUGGGCAGACGUGGCAGCAGGCAGGAGGCCUUCUGGAGACACAGGUGACAGGACUGGCUGAUGGAGUGACUGCGGGUGGGCAGGAGAGGGAAAAGAAAAAACCAGGAAGACACGUGGGCUCUGGGUCUGAGCAGCUGGGGGAGUGGUGCUAGACUCUCAAUGGGGUGAAGAUCACUGGGCUUGGGGAGGAGGUGCAGGGCAUGCCAGGGGGACAGAAAUGAGGCACCCUUGUCAGACACGACUGUCCGCGGUGCUCAUUAGACAACAGAGCGGGGGUGUCCGGGGGGCAGCUGGGACGGUGCUGGGCUGGGCAUAUACAUUUGGGCACCAUCAACCACAGACCAGGAGGCCGAUCGUGGCCAGCGUACUCUGGGAGAUGGCGGUGGUGGUCCAGGCCCUGAUGUAAGCGCUCCACUUGAUGUUAUGGGCAGGAGCUUUUCUAGCAAAGAGCAAAGGAGAGUACCUGCUAAGCCACUGACUCGAGGGGCAGGGCUGUGGGGAGAGGGAGAAAGAGAGAGGUUCAGGAGCUGAACACUGCCCCAGGGCAUGAGGAGCCAGCCUGUAGGGUGGUCCAAACGUCCAGGCCAAAGGGACCAUCCCAGACUCCGACCUCAGAUCCCAAUCAGGGCACGUUCACAAGCCCCAAACACACUCCGUCUGGCUCAGACAUCAGCCUGCCAGAUUCAAUCCUAUCAGAUUAACAGUUUUUGGCACUGUUCCUAUAAAUCGGAUUUAGAGGACAUCAAAAGCUUCAUUAAAAAAAAAUACCCUGAAGCAGCAAUCAGGCAUCUACCAGACCCUCAAUCAGUGAGUAUUAGGCUGAAUUCUAGUCUCCACCUUUGGGGAUUAACAGAGAAGGUCAAGGGCGGGGAAGAAAACUAAGGGACUGACCAAAUCAGAUCUGAGAGGGUCAGAAGAAGUGAAAUCAUUGUGCUGGGGAAAGCCAGGCUGAAGAAUUUUGACCAUGACUAACUCCAAGGGCAAUAACAGAAUGCAGGGGGCCAGCAUUUAAGAUCUCUUGAGGAGGCCUCCACCCGAGGAAGGGAAACCAGUUUUAGAUCAUGAGGAAUAAAGACAAAGAAUGGUCUGACCCUGGAGUAGGUUUACAGAUCUUCAUAGAAGGCCACUGGGCCAGAGGUAUUUUCUUGUCUUCAGAUUGAUCUCAGACUCUGAGCCUUCGGCAAGGAAGAAUCCGGCCGGGAGAAAGAGUAUUAAUACCACGGUCACAGAAUUAGGCCCUUGCUGAGACCAAGCCCAGGGGUGCCUCAACCAGACUGUCCAGAGGGUUAGCAAUGUCUGCAAGGAUUUCUAACUUGAAAAUGUUAAACAUGAGCACGAACUUCCCUGGCGGCCCAGUGGUUAAGAAUCCGCCUGCCAGUGCAGGGGACACAGGUUCUAUCCCUGGUCCGGGAAGAUCCUACAUGCCGCGGAGCAACUAAGCCCAUGUGCCACAACUGCCACAACUACUGAGCCCGCGUGCCACAACUACUGAAGCCCACAAGCCUGGAGCCCGUGCUCCGCAACAAGAGAAGCCACCGCAAUGAUAAGCCCGCGCACCGAAACGAAGAGUAGCCCCUGCUCGCCAGAACUAGAGAAAGCCUGUGCGCAGCAAUGAAGACCCAACGCAGCCAAAACAAACACACAAAGAAAAAAAACAAAAAAAACACGAGCGUGUGCGUGCACGUGUGCACGCACACACACACUCUACCCAGGCCCUGAAACAAGAGCUGACGACUAGAAAGCAGACAAUCCCAGAUUGUUACAGAGGUGUCAGACAUCAUUUUAGUUCAACCCCUUCAUUUUGUAGAUGGGAAAUCUACAAGGUUAAGUGACUUCCCCAAGUCCUAAGGUUACGCAGAGGCAAAAAUAUUAGAUAAGCAAGUUCUUCAGGCUAUUUAAUCUCAUUAGCUAUCUUUUUUUUUUUUUUUUGCGGUGCGCGGGCCUCUCACUGUUGCGGCCUCUCCCGUUGCGGAGCACAGGCUCCGGAGGCGCAGGCUCAGCGGCCAUGGCUCACGGGCCCAGCCGCUCCGCGGCAUGUGGGAUCUUCCCGGACCGGGGCACGAACCCGUGUCCCCUGCAUCGGCAGGCGGACUCUCAACCGCUGCGCCACCAGGGAAGCCCCUCAUUAGCUAUUCUUUAGCCACCUUGGCCAGGAGAAAGUGACCCAUGCGCCCACCUCCCUGGCAAGAGAGAAGGAAUGAUUGCUAUUAGCAUCCCAGGCUUCCUUUUUUGGUUCUGAUCAGGCAGCAGGCAAUCAGAAUGGCAGCCAACAGCUCUGUCUGUGCAUCAGGGCCUGAUAGGAGGAGGUUUCUGGACCCCUCUUCCAUUUAUCUGUCCUUAACAGGGGCAAACCGAGUGCACUCAGACUCAGGUUGUUCCAGAAAUGCUCUGGCUACCAGGGACUUGGCAUUUCUCAAAAAGAACGUCCACCAAGGGUCUAAGUUGGUCUCACCCCUCCCAUGCUGUGGUUUGGGCCGAUGGCCUGGGAAGGAAAAGACUACAAAAAAGAAACUGUCUAAAAGUGAACACGCUCAAUGUUUUAUCUCUAACUCCCUGAAGGCAGACAGCUUUCUUCUUAAGGUAUGUUCUUUAGGAGUUUACGUCUUCCCACUAAGUAGAAAAAUUCUGACAGCUACAUUUUCUAUGUGCAAACAAGACUCUAUCUCUGAAAGAAUGAACGAAAUUUAGCUAUUAGGAAAGCCCCAACUUCUUUCUCGUAUGAAAAAAAAUUAUGAGCUUAAAGGACUUUACAGAACAUACCCUCUUGCAGCUCUAAAUGCUGAACUCUGCUUACAGCCCUCUGCGUCCUCUUGUGUGGUUGAUGUACAUCUUUGUGAUGAUUGUGAAGACAUUAUUCCUGUUUUGUGUUCAGCUUUCUUCCUUACUUAUUUCUACCAAUUUGCUUACUAAUCAAAUGUCCUAAUUAAUGGACAUUUGGGUUAUUUCUGUUUCCCACCCCCCCCAGAAAAUCACUAGAUCUGAUACAGACUGCUUGUAUCCCCCAGAAUUCAUAUGCUGAACCCCCAAUGUGAUGGUACUUGGAGGUGGGACCUAGGGGAGGCCAUUAGGUUUAAUGAGGUCAUGACAGUGGGGGCCCCCAUGAUGAGGUUAGGGCCCUCAUAAGAAGAGGAAGACACCAGAGUGUCCUCUGUGCUGUGUGAGGACACAGCAAAAAGGCAGCUGUCAGCUGGCUGGGAAGUGGGUUCUCACCAGGAACCGAAUCUGCCAGUACCUUGAUCUUGGACUCUCAGCCUCCAGAACUGGGAGAAAUAAAUGUCUGUUGUUUCAACCAGUCAAUCUACAGUACUUUGUUAUAGCAGCCCGGGCGGACUCAAAGUGGUAUGAACAACUGCCAGAUAUCUGUUAGCCUCCACUAAACUGGCUUCUGUUAAGAGAACAGAAAAGUGGAGUCAUGCUGACAUCACGAAGGUCAGGACAUGAAAAAGAAAAACUGAAAAUAAAAUACAAUAAAAAAAAAAUAAAUGAAGCUCAGGACAGAUGAUGGGGGAUGGCAUUUACCUGCUUCUUGAUCAUUCUGGGAGGGCCAGGGGCUCUGCAGCUCCCGGGGGCAGGCCCGCGGUGACAAGGCUGGUGACAAGACGGACCUAACAGCAAGAUAACUUCAGAAAAGGUGAACCAGGGCCCGGCUGCGUGUCGAGGACAGACAGAGGAGGCUCUGCAGCUCAAUCAGACCAGCACCCCUAGAGUGCCCGAAAACCCCAGCCGUUUCCUGAGAAAUUCCCCACUAGGUUCCUUUUUCCCGACAUUGUAUGUUGGAAAAUUCCAAACCUACAGAGAAGUUGACAGAAUAAUACAAUGAACACUCAUAUACCCUUUCACCUAGAUUCACCAAUCCUUAACAUUUUUCCAUCCAUCUUUGUACCCUCUCUCCAUACACACCCAUGAUCUGUGUGCGUGUGUGUGUGGAACUAUUUGAAGCAUGACAUGUUUA